rfam:Oryza meridionalis cultivar OR44 (W2112) chromosome 5, whole genome shotgun sequence.
UUUAAAUGCAACCAUAAGAUUCCGCAUCUAAUUUUGAUCAUUCGUCUUAUUUGAAAUUUUUUUAUAAUUAGUAUUUNCAUGAAUAGUACUUUACUCGUGACUUAUGUUAUUAAUUUUUUUUCAAAAAAAAUUAAAUAAGACAGACAAUCAAAGUUGGGUGUGGAAAACCAUGACUGCACUUGAA